rnacentral:lncRNA from 10 species
UGUUGAAAAGAAUAAGAAAAUGUCUUAUUCUAUUUAUACUGAUUUGGUAAGAAAAAUGACACAAAAUUUCAGUUAGAAAAAAAUAAGUUUGAGAGAUCUGUUGUACAUCAUGAUGAUUACAGUUAAUAACAAUAUAUUGAAUAUUUGAAAAUUGUUAAGAAUACAUUUUUAAUGUUUUCAUCACCAAAAAAAAGACUAGUAUGUGAGGUAAUGCCUGUGUUAAACAUCUUAGCCAUUCCACAAUGUACAUACUAUAUCAAAACAAGUAAUACACCAUAAAUAUAUUUAAUUUUUACUUG